ACACAACUUCUGACACACAAAGACGCACAAAUAUAAUGAGUAGAUAUAAUAACUUAUUUUCAAAUUUUAUUACAUUUGUUGUGUUUUUAUUUCAGAAUCGAAGCUGUUAGUCAGAGUGUUGAAACGGGAAAACGAAGAGUUGAGGAGGAGGGUAGACGAUGGUAAUACACACAAACACUUACACACUCAAACACACACACACACACCUGCUGACACACACAGACACACACUGGUAAUAUACACACACGCACACACUCA